rnacentral:lncRNA from 1 species
GGGGCUGAACCGGCUGAGCUUCCCAGGGACGCCCCGACCCAAGCCCUGCAGUCCGCGCGCGUCAGGGGUGUGCGCUGGAGGCCGGAAAGUCGAAUAUCACUUCCCAUCCUGCAUUUGAUGUGCUUUGGGGUUGAAAAAGCCCUUAUGUGGUAAAAAAAAAAAAAAAAAAAAAGUCAGAAAAGUGGCAAAAGUCUUCAACGGCCUGAAAAAGGCCGAGACAGGAACUGAGAAGCUGGCAGUAGGUCCUGCUACUGCUGCAGGGGCGGCGGGCGCCCUGGGUGGGCCACGAGGCAGGGACAGCCGAGGCUCCGCGCUCACCCCACCCGCAAGGGGCCAAGCGCAGACUCAGGGGAGCCAGAGGGGCCGGACCGCUGAGCAAGGGCUGGGGAAGGAUCCCACGCUUGGAUACUUGGGAGUGAAGAUGUGUUAUUUCACCCACCGACUCGUUCCACACGACCAAGGCCUGUGCCUGCCCUGAGGGCGAGUUGGUUGAGCCUUGUACAGACAACUCUCAGAGCGUGGGCCUGGGCCGAACCUUUCCCUGUGAGCAGCAGCAUCAGCGUCUAGAACGACGGCCCUCCCGGUCCACGGUGGAAGGUGCGGAGCUCCCGUGGUGUGCUGGCAGCGAUUCGCAGAAGGGAGAUGGAGGGCCACAGGGCAGGUGCUCGCACGGAGUCAUCGAGGUCCAGGGACACCUUCCUCCCAGGAGUGUGUGUACAGUGAUCACUUGCUGCCAUAACACAGUCACAGAUCUACGUGUGUUCUCUGACUCUCAGCUGGGGCUCCAUCGGGGCCUGCUCUGGGCUCACCUGCGUGACCACUGGGCUCAGCUUCCUCGUCUGAGAAGCAUCAGGACUGGCCUUCCCACCCCCGCGUUCCCAGGGCUUCCACACUCCUUUCUAGCCAUGAGUCAGUCCUCAGUGGAUGACCAGUGGCCUGGGGUGGCCCUCUGAUUCUCUCACCUGUACUCAGGGGGCUGAACCUCACUCUUCUCUGCCAAAACCAACCAAUGAAUAAAUAAACAAACAAGCAUGGAAUUCCUAAAAA